rnacentral:rRNA from 1 species
UACGUAGGGGGCUAGCGUUGUUCGGAAUUACUGGGCGUAAAGCGUAUGCAGGCGGAUUUUUAAGUCGGGGGUGAAAUCCUGAGGCUCAACCUCAGAACUGCCUUCGAUACUGGAGAUCUUGAGUCCGGGAGAGGUGAGUGGAACUGCGAGUGUAGAGGUGAAAUUCGUAGAUAUUCGCAAGAACACCAGUGGCGAAGGCGGGUCACUGGCCAGGUACUGACGCUGAGAUACGAAAGCGUGGGGAGCAAACAGG